CACUUGUUAGCUGAUUAUCCCCCUCAGAUUGUAAUCUUGAUUGUAUUUCAGGAAACUAUUUCAUGAAGUUGGUUGAAAUGACGCCCAAUGGUGAAAAGAACCACAGAUCUAACUACUCAUUGAAGGUCUGCUGUUCUUCGUGGUCUUCCCCUGUACUUGAGAGAGCCAGCUUCAAUUUCAAAGACUAUUAAGGAUACUGAGGCACUGGGGCCACACACAAAGGCCAUUAAAUGGGGAUCCUGGAAGUGACUGACAGUUCUACCAACUCAGGACCAUAUCCCACAGUGGUCAAUGUGGCUGUAGUACUGGAGGAG